rnacentral:rRNA from 1 species
AUUGAACGCUGGCGGCAUGCCUUACACAUGCAAGUCGAACGGCAGCGGACCUUGGGUGCCGGCGAGUGGCGAACGGGUGAGUAAUAUAUCGGAACGUACCUUUCAGUGGGGGAUAACGUAGCGAAAGUUACGCUAAUACCGCAUAUUCUGUGAGCAGGAAAGCAGGGGAUCGCAAGACCUUGCGCUGAUUGAGCGGCCGAUAUCAGAUUAGCUAGUUGGUGAGGUAAAGGCUCACCAAGGCGACGAUCUGUAGCGGGUCUGAGAGGAUGAUCCGCCACACUGGAACUGAGACACGGUCCAGACUCCUACGGGAGGCAGCAGUGGGGAAUUUUGGACAAUGGGCGCAAGCCUGAUCCAGCCAUGCCGCGUGAGUGAAGAAGGCCU